GUUAGCCUAUUAGGCACAGAGCUAGCAUUAGCAAAGACGACGACGGUAAGCGUCAACAAGGUUUUUGUCUCCGCCGGAUAAUUGACUCGUCUUACCGACGUAACUCUCUCCUUCGUUCAGUCACUUGGCUCCGGACCUCCAGUGGGUGGUGAAGCCGUUACAAAGACGUUGAGAACCAGCAAGAGGAGUAGCAAGUCAUCAGUGGAGGAGGCUCAGUCUCUGCCUCCUGUGAAAGACCUUGUCCCUGAACCUGAAAAUGAUGAGUCUAGUCCAGGCGAGCAUUCAUUCAUCUACUCCCCCUCACGAAGAAGAACAAGAGCCCGUAAAGCAGAGUCUCCUGGCCCAGAUGAAGCGUCUGCAGCACCUGUCACUCGCAGCAGAAGAAGAGUCCAAGAUGUUGCUCCUCCGGAUCGUUGCCUCAGAAGAAGACCAUGUGCAAGUGGAGAAAGCAGCUAGUGUUCCUAAAACCAGAAAAUCAGGCCAACGAACAGCCAAAUCCAAAUCUGUUUCGGAGCCACUUCCCAUAGCAGAGGUCGACCUGCUCUCACCCCUGCCCAGUCCAGCUGAUCCGUUGCCCCGAACACAGAGGAGGACUAAGGAAGGAGAGGUCCCGACCACCAGCAUGAACCUUCGCCGCAAACGUGUAAUGGACACGGUUUUCACAAAACCCGUCACCCGGAGGAAGAGACUGUAAGGAGGUUGAUGGUGGUUUUAACCAGUGAACCUCAGACAGCCACCUGAAGAUCCGAACCAACUCAGUCACGAGCUGUCAAAUUAAAACGUAUGCCUAAUCUCAUGAUGGUUCUGUUUCCUCAAAUGCCUCAGAGCGCUGCAGUUUGUAUAUUAACUUCCCUGUAGGAAAAUGGAAGCAACGUAGGCAGCAAAGUAUAUUUUUGGGACAAAACACACUGGUGGGUAGCAGUGUGAGAAAGAGGACUAUAUUUUUGGAGUUUACAUGUCCCUCUCAUACUAAUUUGAUUUCACUUGAUAUUGUAUUUGUGGCCACUUUGUGUUGGACAUUUUGCGACGUUCCUCGGCUUGAUUCUAAGGGCACAGAAUGGCACAAAGGAAAUCAAUCAAAAUGAGGUUUUUAG
ensembl:lncRNA